AUUGAACGCUGGCGGCAGGCCUAACACAUGCAAGUCGAGCGAGCGGCGGAAGGGUGAGUAAUGUCUGGGAAACUGCCUGAUGGAGGGGGAUAACUACUGGAAACGGUAGCUAAUACCGCAUACCAUCAGAUGGGCCCAGAUGGGAUUAGCUAGUGGGUGGGGUAACGGCUCACCUAGGCGACGAUCCCUAGCUGGUCUGAGAGGAUGACCAGCCACCCUGGGACAGUGACACAAUCCAGACUCCUCCGUGGGGCAGCAGUGGGGAAUAUUCCACAAUGAGCGCAAGCCUGAUGCAGCCAUGCCGCGUGUGUGGAGAAGGCCUUCGGGUUGUACAGCACUUUCAGCGGGGAGGCGUUACCCGCAGAAGAAGCACCGGCUAACUCCGUGCCAGCAGCCGCGGUAAUAC
rnacentral:rRNA from 1 species